rnacentral:lncRNA from 1 species
UUAAAAACAAGUCACUCAUCGUUAUCGUUAUCGUUGGGUUCAUCGUCGGAUUCAUUAUCGAAUAAGUUGUCAGAAUCGUAGCCUUUUGACUUUCCUUUUCCUUUUCCUUGUGAAGCAAGAUAGUUGUUAAGUUGGUUCAAAAAUGACGGGGUUUGGAACAAGCUGUUAACAAAAUCCUACAAUAAUAGAUAGCAAAACGUAUAUUAGCAUAUUAAUUAACGCUACCAACAUAUAUUUAACAAGGAAACAUGCGUUCGUUUGUCAUUUUUUAAAUUGCGCAGUUUACCUCGGAAAAGGGUUCUUGCGUCCGAGCUUGCGAAGACGACAUGUUAGAUGACGAGUGCGAGGACGUGUUGGAAGAAGGUUUAGGCCCCAUCCCGCGGUACCAUCCUCGCCGCUCACCCAACGCUUCCUGAUACGGGGCAAUUGGCGGACCCUCACCGCUCCAUUGACUUGUGGCCUGUUGUAUGUUCCGCUCAACCGGAUCAACCCAAUUCCCUUGA